AAACGACUAUCGGCAACGGAUAUCUCGGCUCUCGCAUCGAUGAAGAACGUAGCGAAAUGCGAUUUUUGGUGUGAAUUGCAGAAUCCCGUGAACCAUCGAGAGUUUGAACGCAAGUUGCGCCCGAAGCCACCAGGCCGAGGGCACGCCUGGCUGGGCGUCACG
rnacentral:rRNA from 1 species